rnacentral:sRNA from 1 species
GACCGGCGACCCGGCCCGUGGAGCCGGCGCGGGCGGGCUGCUGAGGUGGCUGUCGCCGGCUCCGAGCUGCGGCUUCCCGGGCCGAGCCCCCGAUGGAGGCCGAGGCCGCGGACGCUCCCCCGGGCGGGGUUGAGUCGGCGCUCAGCUGCUUCUCUUUCAACCAGGACUGCACAUCCCUAGCAAUUGGAACUAAAGCCGGGUAUAAGCUGUUUUCUCUGAGUUCUGUGGAGCAGCUGGAUCAAGUCCACGGAAGCAAUGAAAUCCCGGACGUCUACAUCGUGGAGCGCCUCUUCUCCAGCAGCCUGGUGGUGGUAGUCAGUCACACAAAACCACGGCAGAUGAACGUGUAUCACUUCAAGAAAGGCACAGAGAUCUGUAAUUACAGCUACUCCAGCAACAUCUUGUCCAUAAGGCUGAACCGGCAAAGGCUGCUGGUUUGCCUAGAAGAGUCCAUUUAUAUUCACAACAUUAAAGACAUGAAGCUGUUGAAGACCCUCCUGGAUAUUCCUGCAAACCCAACAGGUCUAUGUGCUCUCUCUAUCAACCAUUCCAAUUCUUACUUGGCCUAUCCUGGAAGCCUGACUUCAGGGGAGAUUGUGCUUUAUGAUGGAAACUCCCUGAAAACAGUCUGCACUAUUGCUGCCCAUGAGGGAACACUAGCUGCCAUCACCUUCAAUGCCUCAGGCUCCAAACUAGCAAGUGCAUCUGAAAAAGUAUGUGACAAUCAGCUCUCUAGUGUUCAGUAUGGAUUCACAAUUCCUCUGCGCCUCCAGUAACACC